rnacentral:rRNA from 1 species
UACGAAGGGGGCUAGCGUUGCUCGAAUCACUGGGCGUAAAGGGUGCGUAGGCGGGUCUUUAAGUCAGGGGUGAAAUCCUGGAGCUCAACUCCAGAACUGCCUUUGAUACUGAAGAUCUUGAGUUCGGGAGAGGUGAGUGGAACUGCGAGUGAGAGGUGAAAUUCGUAGAUAUUCGCAAGAACACCAGUGGCGAAGGCGGCUCACUGGCCCGAUACUGACGCUGAGGCACGAAAGCGUGGGGAGCAAACAGGGAUUCAGAAA